GGGAAGGUGGCUCAGUGGUAGAGUGCUUGCCUCAUAUGCAUGAGGUCCUGGGUUCGAUUCCUCAGCCCCA
rnacentral:tRNA from 1 species